rnacentral:RNase_P_RNA from 13 species
AAAGAAAGAAAGAAAGAAAGAAAGAAAAGGAAAGAAUAGAAAGGGAAUAACAAGUCAUUUCGUCCAAUUUCAAUUUCUCUAAUUCUGUCCUUGCUGAUUGCCUUCCCUUGCCAAUAGCAGAAGCAUAACAUCCCACACUAAUACCAGUGGGGUCAACUUGGAAGAGCUGAGGUCCUU